UGAGGCUNGAAAGCGUGGGUAGCGAACAGGAUUAGAUACCCUGGUAGUNCACGCCGUAAACGAUGAGUGCUAGGUGUUAGGCCCUUUCCGGGGCUUAGUGCCGGAGCUAACGCAAUAAGCACUCCGCCUGGGGAGUGCGACCGCAAGGUUGAAACUCAAAGGAAUUGACGGGGGCCCGCACAAGCGGUGGAGCAUGUGGUUUAAUUNGAAGCAACGCGAAGAACCUUACCAGGUCUUGACAUCCCGAUGCUAUUCUUGGAGAUAGGAAGUUACUUCGGUACAUCGGAGACAGGUGGUGCAUGGUUGUCGUCAGCUCGUGUCGUGAGANNNNNNNNAAAANNNNNGCAACGAGCGCAACCCUUAUUGUUAGUUGCCAUCAUUAAGUUGGGCACUCUAGCGAGACUGCCGGUAAUAAACCGGAGGAAGGUGGGGAUGACGUCAAAUCAUCAUGCCCCUUAUGACCUGGGCUACACACGUGCUACAAUGGUCGGUACAACGAGUUGCGAGCCGGUGACGGCAAGCUAAUCUCUGAAAGCCGAUCUCAGUUCGGAUUGGAGGCUGCAACUNGCCUCCAUGAAGUCGGAAUCGCUAGUAAUCGCGGAUCAGCACGCCGCGGNGAAUACGUUCCCGGGC
rnacentral:rRNA from 1 species